rnacentral:rRNA from 1 species
AUUGAACGCUGGCGGCAGGCUUAACACAUGCAAGUCGAGCGGAGAUGAGGUGCUUGCACCUUAUCUUAGCGGCGGACGGGUGAGUAAUGCUUAGGAAUCUGCCUAUUAGUGGGGGACAACAUUCCGAAAGGAAUGCUAAUACCGCAUACGUCCUACGGGAGAAAGCAGGGGAUCUUCGGACCUUGCGCUAAUAGAUGAGCCUAAGUCGGAUUAGCUAGUUGGUGGGGUAAAGGCCUACCAAGGCGACGAUCUGUAGCGGGUCUGAGAGGAUGAGCCGCCACACUGGGACUGAGACACGGCCCAGACUCCUACGGGAGGCAGCAGUGGGGAAUAUUGGACAAUGGGGGGAACCCUGAUCCAGCCAUGCCGCGUGUGUGAAGAAGGCCUUAUGGUUGUAAAGCACUUUAAGCGAGGAGGAGGCUACUGAGACUAACACUCUUGGAUAGUGGACGUUACUCGCAGAAUAAGCACCGGCUAACUCUGUGCCAGCCGCCGCCGUAACAC